CUAACAGUUGGAGGGAAGCCCCAUCUCUGUUUAUUUGCAACGUCCGACAUAAAACCUGGAGAGGAAAUUUCCUAUGAUUAUGGUGACUCGGACUGGCCGUGGCGAAAUAAGCAAAUCCAUGUCCAAGAAAUGUCCGUUACUACAGAGACCGAGAACACUGAAGAGCAAAUCCAUGUCCAAGAAAUGUCCGUUACUACAGAGACCGAGAACACUGAAGAGGUGCUUUUUUUAUUUCAUUUCAAUCAUUAAAUAUACUGGAACUAGAGCUGUUUAUAUAAUGUAAGACUUUGGAUAUUGUCAAUGUUCAUGUAAUCAACCAGGCAUGAGGGGUGUGGUAUAUGCCCAAUAUACCAAAACUAAGAGCUGUUUUUAGGCACAAUGCUUCAUGGAAUAUGUUGGCAAUACACCAUAAACCUCUGCUGGGCCUUGUUGCUCUACUGAAAUAGUUCCCAAUGCAAUUAGAGAAUUAAAGUGAUAUCAUAGCCAUGGUAUACGGUCCCAUAUAUAUUGGCUAUCAGCCAAUAGGUAUUCAUGAUUCCA